CAGCCAGCCAGGGACUGUUGGCAGCAGCCAGGUACUGCUUCCCUGAUCUUCAGAUACAGCUUCAGGAACAGCUUUCUUUCUAAUGGGCUUCACUAAUCUGAAUGAAGAAGACUUCGGCACACAGAUAAGAAUAUGGCCUAUUGAAGUGCACAGAAACAUCCAAAGAUGUUGGAAAAUGAAUCCUAAAUGCAGUGAAAAUACCAUCUUUUGAAUACUUAUCAAGAAGGUGUGCACAUAACUUGUGGAAACGUGUUGAACUGUACACAGUGGCUGGGUCCAGAUGAGUUGUGCCAAUGCUACUCAUCCCCAGGGAAUGCCCCUGCAUGUGCGUCUGGUGCAUGGACUGCCUCAAGGAUCUGACAGGAGGAAUUGAGUAUGCUGCCAAGAUAUUAAAUGAAAUUCCCCAGAAAGACAUUCAGUGCGCUAAAAGAGCCUCAAAGGCAGAAAAAGGAAGGAAAUGGGCAAGACAGAUCCCAGCUGGCUUUAAAUGAACUAGCUCAGAUACCAGAAGAAGGCAAGCCACGGCAGAACAGAGCCUGUGUGGAACAACGUGCUGCUAUAGAUGAAUUGGCAACUGAGAGCUAGCAGACUGAAAGCUAGGUUGGGUCUCUCUCAUGGCACUGUAGUCCACAGUCUCGACACAGAUCCAAACACAGGCAUGGGUGAACUGGGCAGCCGCCCAGGUGCCAGACAGAAAGGGGGCCCGAAAAUGAAAAAAAAGAAUUAGAAUUGCAAAACAAAGUGUUAAUAUUGCACAUAUGUGGAACUGGCAAUGUUAUCAAUUGAGGACGGCGUAUUUAAAGACAUCGAUACCACGGAUGUGAUAGAGACUUCUGCAACAACAAAAAAAAUCAUUAUCUCUGGCAAAGGGGGGCCCCAAUACUAAAAGUUCGCCCGGAGCUGCCAAGAGUCUAGAGAUGGCACUGUCUAGACACAUGCAAAGGUGUCCUCGGUUUACUACAGGAGCAAGCUUGAGUCAGAGAAACUUUCACUCUUAGUAGCUCUGAAAACGCUGUUGGAAAUUGGUGCAACAGUUGUAUCCUUCUGUUCACGACUACAAGACAGUAACACGGUUCUUAACUUUGGACCACACUGAAACGUUUGAAUGUUAAAUGACGUGUGGUGUGAAGUUUCGGUUGCAAAUCUUUAAAUGUCUUCUCCAGUUUGGCUUUCACAUUCCUGUACACAAUUAUAAUGAAAUCUGUUCAGGUACCUGCAUCUGCAAAUAGUCAUUCUGCUCUCAAAAAGCUGGACCACUUUGAGCCCUUGAGAGCAGCCACUCACCUGGGCAGAAGGCUUGAGGAGAGGGGAAUUAUGAACUGGCCUGGAGGAGAGGAGACGGCACUUGCUGUGUGGCGCCUUCCAAAUAAUUUCCUCCGUGAAAUGUAAUUGGGCGAGAGGAGCAUGGACUUGCUUUCCUAGAACAAUCGUGAUUUGUCGCUUGGAACCUGGAAAUAUGAUAACUACUAGUUGCCAGGACCCUCCCUGCACAUGCCAAGAGUCUGCACACUGGCACUGCUAAGUAUCACUAUUUUCACUGUCUGAACUGACACGGAUUUUAGUGUAAAGGUGUUAUUUAUCUUCUGGCAAAUGGGCAACUAAUAGCUUUUUCUGCUUGGACUGAAUCUCCUGGUUUUACUAAGGUCUAAUGACAAGGCUUCUGAUGUUGUUUGAGGACGGCACUAUCAUUAAGAUGUGAAGUUUAAAGUUGCCAUUUGCUUCCUUAAGGAAUUUGCUAUGGAGGUUGAAAGAUAGAAAUACAUUGAUAUGAAGUUCAGGAAAAGCUCUGAUGUCACCCGUGUUAAGUGCUGCAGCGUAAUUAAAACUUCUUGUCUACUAGGUGAUCCCUGCUUCAAUAGGAUUUUUCUAUG